UUUCGUAGGUGAACCUGCGGA
rnacentral:rRNA from 1 species